rnacentral:rRNA from 1 species
UUAAUUGAAGAGUUUGAUCAUGGCUCAGAUUGAACGCUGGCGGCAGGCCUAACACAUGCAAGUCGAACGGUAGCAGGAUGUGCUUGCACAUCGCUGACGAGUGGCGGACGGGUGAGUAAUGCUUGGGAACUUGCCUUUGCGAGGGGGAUAACAGUUGGAAACGACUGCUAAUACCGCAUAAUGUUUUCGGACCAAACGGGGCUUAGGCUCCGGCGCAAAGAGAGGCCCAAGUGAGAUUAGCUAGUUGGUGAGGUAAAGGCUCACCAAGGCGACGAUCUCUAGCUGUUCUGAGAGGAAGAUCAGCCACACUGGGAC